rnacentral:misc_RNA from 1 species
GAUUAAGAACGCAGCGAAAUGCGAUAAGUAAUGUGAAUUGCAGAAUUCAGUGAAUCAUCGAAUCUUUGAACGCACAUUGCGCCCCUUGGUAUUCCGAGGGGCAUGCCUGUUCGAGCGUCAUUAUAACCCCUCAAGCUCAGCUUGGUGUUGGGGCCUGCUGCACUGGCAGCCCUUAAAAUCAGUGGCGGCGCCAUCUGGCUCUAAGCGUAGUAAUUCUUCUCGCUAUGGAGUCCUGGUGGAUGCUUGCCAUCAACCCCCAAUUUUUCUAUGGUUGACCUCGGAUCAGGUAGGGAUACCCGCUGAACUUAAGCAUAUCAAAAGCGGAGGA